rnacentral:tRNA from 1 species
AAUUUAGCGUAAUGAGAUAUAACAAGCCAGAACGAGGGAUUUUUGACUUAAAAUCCCUCGGUUAACACCGUACGGGUUCGAUCCCCGUCGUCCGCACCA